rnacentral:rRNA from 1 species
UUCUGACCGUAAACGAUGCCAACUAGCGAUCCGGCGGGUGUUCUCUAACCCGCCGGGGAGCUUCCCGGAAACGAAAGUCUUCCGGUUCCGGGGGAAGUAUGGUUGCAAAGCUGAAACUUAAAGGAAUUGACGGAAGGGCACCACCAGGAGUGGAGCCUGCGGCUUAAUUUGACUCAACACGGGGAAACUCACCCGGCCCGGACACCGCGAGGAUUGACAGACCGACAGCUCUUUCAUGAUUCGGUGGAUGGUGGUGCAUGGCCGUUCUUAGUUCGUGGAGCGAUUUGUCUGGUUUAUUCCGAUAACGAGCGAGACUCCAGCCUGCUAAAUAGUGGGGGCGUUGCCUCGCGCCCGCCGCUUCUUAGAGGGAUUUUCGGCGCUCAGCCGCACGACACGGAGCAAUAACAGGUCUGUGAUGCCCUUAGAUGUCCGGGGCUGCACGCGCGCUACACUGGCGAAGGCAGCGUGCCUGUCCUCUCCCGACGGGGACGGGUAAACCAUUGAAAAUUCGCCGUGAUUGGGAUCGGAGACUGCAAUUAUUCUCCGUGAACGAGGAAUUCCAAGUAAGUGCGAGUCAUCAGCUCGCGUUG